rnacentral:rRNA from 1 species
GAGUUUGAUCCUGGCUCAGUGCGAACGCUGGCGGCAGGCCUAACACAUGCAAGUCGAGCGGCCGUAGCAAUACGGCAGCGGCAGACGGGAGAGUAACACGUGGGAACGCGCCCUUCGGUCCGGGAUAACCCAGGGAAACUUGGGCUAAUACCGGAUACGCCCUUACGGGGAAAGAUUUAUUGCCGAAGGAACGGCCCGCGUCCGAUUAGCUAGUUGGUGAGGUAACGGCUCACCAAGGCGACGAUCGGUAGCUGGUCUGAGAGGAUGACCAGCCUCACUGGGACUGAGACACGGCCCAGACUCCUACGGGAGGCAGCAGUGGGGAAUAUUGGACAAUGGGCGCAAGCCUGAUCCAGCCAUGCCGCGUGGGUGAUGAAGGCCCUAGGGUUGUAAAGCCCUUUCGGCGGGGAAGAUAAUGACGGUACCCGUAGAAGAAGCUCCGGCUAACUUCGUGCCAGCAGCCGCGGUAAUAC